rnacentral:rRNA from 1 species
AUUGAACGCUGGCGGAAUGCUUUACACAUGCAAGUCGAGCGGCAGCGCGGGGCAACCUGGCGGCGAGCGGCGAACGGGUGAGUAACAUAUCGGAACGUACCCCGUCGUGGGGGAUAACUAUCCGAAAGGAUAGCUAAUACCGCAUACGACCUGAGGGUGAAAGGGGGGAGUCGCAAGACCUCUCGCGAUGGGAGCGGCCGAUAUCGGAUUAGCUAGUUGGUGGGGUAAAGGCCUACCAAGGCGACGAUCCGUAGCUGGUCUGAGAGGACGACCAGCCACACUGGAACUGAGACACGGUCCAGACUCCUACGGGAGGCAGCAGUGGGGAAUUUUGGUACAAUGGGGGCGAACCCUGAUCCAGCCAUUCCGCGUGAGUGAAGAAGGCCUCGGUUGUAAG